rnacentral:rRNA from 1 species
UACGGGAGGCAGCAGUGGGGAAUAUUGCACAAUGGGCGAAAGCCUGAUGCAGCGACGCCGCGUGAGGGAUGACGGCCUUCGGGUUGUAAACCUCUUUCAGCAGGGAAGAAGCGAAAGUGACGGUACCUGCAGAAGAAGCGCCGGCUAACUACGUGCCAGCAGCCGCGGUAAUACGUAGGGCGCAAGCGUUGUCCGGAAUUAUUGGGCGUAAAGAGCUCGUAGGCGGCUUGUCACGUCGGAUGUGAAAGCCCGGGGCUUAACCCCGGGUCUGCAUUCGAUACGGGCUAGCUAGAGUGUGGUAGGGGAGAUCGGAAUUCCUGGUGUAGCGGUGAAAUGCGCAGAUAUCAGGAGGAACACCGGUGGCGAAGGCGGAUCUCUGGGCCAUUACUGACGCUGAGGAGCGAAAGCGUGGGGAGCGAACAGGAUUAGAUACCCUGGUAGUCCACGCCGUAAACGUUGGGAACUAGGUGUUGGCGACAUUCCACGUCGUCGGUGCCGCAGCUAACGCAUUAAGUUCCCCGCCUGGGGAGUACGGCCGCAAGGCUAAAACUCAAAGGAAUUGACGGGGGCCCGCACAAGCAGCGGAGCAUGUGGCUUAAUUCGACGCAACGCGAAGAACCUUACCAAGGCUUGACAUAUACCGGAAAGCAUCAGAGAUGGUGCCCCCCUUGUGGUCG